rnacentral:tRNA from 1 species
GAGGGUAUAGCUCAAGUGGUAGGACACAUGCUUAGCAUGCAUGAGGUCCUGGGUUCAAUCCCCAGUACCUCCU